UUAAUGGUCAUGAUCAUGCCAACAACUAUCCAUCCGUGCACUACGGGCCAAUGGGGACUUUUUCCACAUCAUUUAUAACAUUACGGUCAUGAUUACACCGAAUAAUCCCUGGUCAUAAUCAUACCAAGUCCAUCUAUGCACUACAGGCCACAGAUGACUUUCAACAUAAUAUAAACAUGAGGAUGAUGACAAUGAUAUAAGAUUUCUAUAAAACAAGUUCAAUAAUUAAUUUAUCCAUGAACCAAUAACGUCCAAAUUGUCAACAUGAUACUGCUUUGUAGUGUAAAAUUCAAGAAUGCUCAAAAGAAUAUUUCUAUGAAAAGAUACUGGAUGAAGCGCAAAUAUCAAGGAUAUUCCACUAAUUUCAUGGAGUAUAGAAGUCAAAACUUUAACCAACUGAGUAUAAUAACGAAUGGAAUAACAAAAGAAAUCACCAUGCAUGUGGUACUUCGUAUAGACAGGUUAUUCCAACAGAUUAAUAAGUAAUGGAACCAGGUCAGGCCAAAUUCGCACCGACAGGAUGUUCCAACAGAAUAAUAAAGAAGGAACCAGGUCCGGCGUAAAUGCACAGACAGGAUAUUCCAACAGAAUAAUAAUAAAGAUGGAACCAGGUCCGGCGUAAACGCACAGACAUGAUAUUCCAACAGAAUAAUAAUAAAGAUGGAACCAGGUCCGGCGUAAACGCACAGACAUGAUAUUCCAACAGAAUAAUAAUAAAGACGGAACCAGGUCUGGCGUAAACAUACAGACAGGAUAUUCCAACAAAAUAUAAUAAUAAAGAAGGAAUAUUAGAAGAAUGUCACCAAGUAUAGGGUAGUCUGCGUAUACUGGUUAUUCUAGCAGAAUAAUAAAGAAUGGAAUAACAGAAGUUCUCUUCAUGAAUACAAAAGAAAUAAUACCCCUUACGAGUACAAUAAAUAAUAUCUCUUACCGUAAAAGAAAC
rnacentral:lncRNA from 1 species